GGCAUCUGGCAGGCUUCUUCCUUGUUAUUCAUUAAAUUUCUCCUCUGAUUCAUUCAUCUCCAAAACCCUCAGAGGCACGGAAGCUCACCCUGAAGCCAACCAGAAGUCGAAGUUCUGAGCCAGAAGGUCUCGCUGGUCUGGGAACAGUCACUGUUCAGAAGAGAGGUGGCCCAGAGGGGGCCUGGCCCACGACACAGAGCAACCGUGUGGGUGGGGCUAGGACUUCAUUUCCUAGAAGCUCAGCAGAAGCGCAACUGCAUCUGCACAAAACCACCAAAAGCAAACAAACAAACAAGGCUUCCAAGCACCCUUCCAAUGGCAGCGGAGGCCCGUGACAGCUGUCUGAAGAAAUCACAUGAAACCACAGAGGUGGAAGUGGAGUACAAGCCGAGCCUGUAGAAAUGGGAUCAGCAAGCGAGACCACCCUGACGCUCCUGGCUGGGAAGGCAGACCUACCCGCUGGAGAGGGAAGUGUGUGAGAAACGGGACUCGCUAACAUCCGGGCCCACACAAGGGAGGCCCCAGGAACAGGAAAAGCAAAGGGUAAGUGGGAGGAGGCAGCUAGGUGGUUUCCAAGAAGAAAGGCUGGAGAGGUAAGAGAGACUCUUUGUAGGCUUCCCCAGAGGCCACAUUGAGAAGUUCAGCUGCAUGCUGAAAGCAGAGGUUCCAGUCAGGUUCUGGUGUGGAGGACAACAGUCAUAUCUGCCUCUUGCACUGCUUCUGUUUUCUCUUGCAUAGAAUACCUGAGACUGGGUCAUUUGUAAAAGAAGUUGUGUUGGUCAGCUUCCUGUGAUAUCACAAAAUGUCAGAGAAUCAAACUUAGAAAAAGAGGAAAGGCUUAGUCCCACUCACAGUUUCAGUCCAUGAUCAUCCGUCCCCUUGCCUUCCUGUCGUGGCACAUCAUGGUCGGAGCCAGUGUUUGCCGUCCUGGGAGACAGAAAGCAAGGCACUAGGAGGAGGCAGGGCUGAUGUCCCCUGUCCUCUCUGAGGCCACGCCCCAGUGCCCCAGUUCCUCCCACUGGGCCCCACCCCUUAAAGGUCCACCACCUGCCAAGACUGCACGGGGUUCACCUUACACAGGGUUUUCUACAUCUGUGACCUCCCAAAUGACAAAUACUGGUACUUCAGUUUGUUGAAUUUGUCCUUGAGAUAAAUGGCAAAAUUGGUUUCAGGUCCAGGUUUUCCCCCUUUUCCAGAAUAGCCACGUGUCCCCUCUCCGCCUUGUGGGUGUCCUCAGAGCCUUCCUCUUGUCUUCUUCCUCCCACCCCAUCAUUCACAGACAGCAUCAAGCUCUGCCGCUCAUAGAGCUGACAGGGCCCCUGGGCGGGACCUCAGAGCUGAGCUGCUGAACGGUUCUCAGGGAGAACUAGGGGAGCCUGCCCUGGUCCCUGAAUCAAUAGGCAGCUGCUUCUCCAGCGACUUAGAAACUGUUCUCCUUCCCAGGGUAACUCUCAGGCAAUGACAGUGGUCCCAGGUUGCUGCUUUAAAAAACAGCUGACAGGGCUGGGGAUUUAGUUAAGUGGUUUUGCUGCCUGCCUCACAAGUGCAAGGACCGGAGUUUGAUCCCCGGUACCAAAAACUAAAUAAAUAAAUAAAAAUAAAAACCAACUGAUAUUAGGUUGAAAGCUUGCACGGGCCCUCUGCAGACCACAGCUCCCCUCUUCCCUAAGGUCAGGCUCCACACAGGGACCCAAGAAAGGCAGCCACGGAGGACCCUGCUCCCUCCCACGCAAACACCAGGGUGGAGCCACUGGGCUCUAGGAAUACAAACCCUUAGUUUGAGGUUGCUUGGGUGGAAAUUUUUAACAAGCAGCUCCCUCAGCUCCCAAGCCACACAAAAUGCGACUUUCGAAAUAUGUGUGUUGCCUGUGGCACUGCUUGGACAGGAGGCAUCCUGCCCCCAGUGCGAUUGGAGUCACCAGCCCGCUGGCUACGCUGCCAGGGUGCCCACCGCCUCUGCCCAGCGACAGAGCCCUGCCCAGUCCAGGAGACAGCGCUGCCACCCGCGCUGUCCCGGACAUGCGGGGGCUCCCUGGAGAUGCGGGGCCGCCCGCCCGGAGCAGAAGGCCCCUGAGCUUGCCCUGUCCCUGUCCCUGUCCGCCCUGUAACAGGGGCCUUCUGCAGGCAGAGUCCCCACAGCCUUCGGCCCUGCAGGACACAGGAUGGCUACCUCACAGGGCAGCUGCCUAACUAAGCGCAAGAGAAAGGGGCUUUGAAUUUUCAUAAGAGAAUCUUUACUAACCCUGAGUAAUCCCUAGACUUUUCAUGCUUUCAUAUGACUUGGGGAAAAAAGGAGGCCAUAGAGGAAAGGUUUCCUGUGGGAGGUAAGCUGUGGGUUCCUGAGAACAGCGCGUUUCGGUGCUCUGCAAUCCUGCCCAGGACUCGCUAAAGCAAGAAUGGGGAAAGACAGAGGGCACCGGAGGCAGAGGCAAGCACAGGACAGCAGGUGAAGCUCCUGGAGCGGGAAGACUGGCAACAGGGAGGAAAGGAAGCGUGCAGAACGGGAGACGCAAAAUCCACAGGAGAGGGAGGAAGGGACUCAACCUAGAGUAGGGUUUGGGGUGCUUUGGCAGCGGAAAGGUCCUCAGAGAGACUGCAGCCAGGAGGAGUUUAUUUCCACCAGAGGGGAAGGAGGGAGAGAGGGGGAGAGAGAGAGAGAGAGAGAGGGAGAGACAGAGGA